GAGGAAGAGCCGCGGUUGCACAGGGAGGGCUGGACAUGUCUGAGGCAUCGUCCUGCCCCGCCAGCCAGGAGACCCCUGCCCCAGGCUGUAGGCUGGGGCCCUUGUACUGGGCCUGUGUCCGCAAUGACCCUGUCCAGCUCCAAGCCACGUUGGAUGGUGGGGUCUCCCCCGAAGAGGCCAUCCAGGUGGAUGGCAACGGGAGGACAGGUCUCAUGGUCGCGUGCUACCGCGGCUUUGAGAAUGUCGUGGCCCUGCUCAGCCGCUGCCCUUUCCUCGAUGUGAACCAGCAGGAUAAAGAAGGGGACACAGCCCUCAUGCUGGCUGCCCAAGCGGGCCACGUGCCUCUGGUGAGUCUCCUGCUCAACUACUACCCGGGCCUGGACCUGGAGCGCCGAGACCAGCGGGGGCUAACAGCACUGAUGAAGGCCGCCGUGCGGGACCGUUCGGAAUGCGUGGCUGCCCUCCUCAUGGCAGGUGCUGACCUGACCUCGGUGGAUCCUAUUCGGGGCAAGACGGCCCUAGAGUGGGCUCUGCUGACCGACAGCUUUGACACCGUGCAAAGGAUCCGGAAGCUGCUGCAGCGCCCCCGGAUAGAGCAGCUGAGCCAGCAUUACCAGCCCCAGUGGCCAGCCUUGCCUGGGCUCGUGGCUCAGGCCCAGGUCCAGGCCACCCCAUCUCUCCUAGAGAGACUACAGGCCACCUUGAGCCUCCCCUUUGCCCCGUCUCCUCAGGAGGGGGGUGUCCUGGACNGCCUAGCCAGUCCCUUCCUCGCCACGGCCUGCCACUCCCUGUGCCCGGACCGGCCGCCGGCACUGGGCACCCGAAGCAAGUCCGUGCCAGAGCUGCUAGGUACUGCCCCGCCCCCUCCCCCAGUACCCCAGCCCCCCCAGGUAGUCCCUGGCUCCCGGGUCCUCAUCCCCUACCAGAGCCAUCAGGGUGUGCUGAGUAUGUGCCCUCAGUGGCUACAGCCCAGGGACAGUAGCAGCCCCAGGCCCCAAGCCCCCAAGAUCCGCCUCUCCAAGGCACCCUCAUCUCCCAGACGGUACAGGCUAGAGCCCAGGCCUCAAGAGAAUCGAAGCCUGGCCCUUCCUGUCUGGAGAUACCAGGAGCUCAGGAUGGAGAGGAGGAGGCAGGAAGAGGGGGCUAGGUGGGCACAGAAUUAAUGAGGGGAAGAUGGGUGAGGCCAGGCUGGGAGCAGGUGAUCAGGUCCUUCCCUAAGGCUCCUUCGCCCUCUAGAGCCUUCUGCUUUCCCGUCCAUCUCUGUACAAAUAAUUCUACUCUAACCUCCUUAGGACGUUACUCACACGGCAUCGUUUGAGGUCGUAAGAGUGAAAACAGCCUAAGUGUUGAUCAGCUUAGCUAGGCGACUAGCUAAGUUGAUUAUGGGUGUGAUUACCGUACAUCUGUAUGAUAUAUUCUAUACAGUGGUGAAACAAGAUUAAGGACGGUCUUUAUGUUCUGAUGGGAAACUAUCUUCAAGAUAUAUUAAGCGUAAAAAAUUAAGGGAUGGAACAGCGCGUAUGGGAUGCUACUAUUUGUCAAAGUAAAAUUUGCACCAAGAUAAACUUGACUGAUACAAACAUAUAGUGAAUGCCUGCAUGUAUGUAACUACUGAGCGAAUGAAGGGUCGAAGGACGGAAAGGAAAAAACCAUGACUGACAGUGGAGAGAAGAAUGCUUGAAUAAGAUUGGAAAGCCUUUCAGGCUUCCAGAGAGGAAAGAAGCAGACGUGGGCUGCUCUGCCUGUGCCACCCAAAGUCAACUUCUCCACCAACAUCCCAGCUUCUUCCCACGGCAGCCAGCGCCUAGAGCUUCCACAUAGAGUUCCUGUCAGCAAAGGCCAGGGAACUCAGGACCAGGUCCCCGGCUGUGCAGAUCACGCCAAAACGAAAGCGGCCUGCUCAGGCCAACACCUGGGUUUGCAUCCUGGCCCUGCCUCUCACCAUCUCUGUGAUCAGGGACCGCUGCCAGCCUCCAUGUCCUCAUUCGUAACACCCCGUGAUGAUAGUAUAUAAUCUCUACUUCCCGGGGUUGUCCCGGGGCACUGAGUGGGGCCCGGCCAACGGUCCGCACCCCGUCAACAACAGCUUUCGUUACUGGGCUGAUCUGCGAGGGGUGUGGCCCAGGCAGUGGCUCUGUGAAGGACGCCUGUGGACACAUCCUGGGAACCCCAUGGCAUCCCCCGUGAUUCCUGGAUUCUACUCUGGUGGGCCCCGAAGUGGAAACACGAGUUUAUACCAGACAGCCUUCUCAGAGCAGCUCCCGCAAGCUGUGUGUCCCCCAGCCCAGCAUGCCCCCGGCCCGCUGCCCAUCCCCACAGCACUGAUGGCAGGCCAACCUGCUUCCCACAUGUGCGUGUCCACCGUCGCCCAGCCCGACGGGGGCUCCUACAGAAGGGGCUGAAAAGUUGGCUUUCCAGACACACUGGGAUGUCAGCCGGGCUUGUGAGGACUCCUGGGACAGCCUCCCCUCCCUCCUGCAUGGGCAGAACCUGGGUCUGUCUCCCUAGUCCCUGGC